ACCACAUUUCCUCUAUGGAUUUCUCAUUUCAUUUCUAAACCUGGGCUGUUUUACCACCACUUACUCUUGGUACCGUGAAGAGAGGGUAUAGGAGCUGUUCUCAUUACAGAGUCAUCAGUGUAACCCGACUACCAGAGCAUGAGCUGAACUUGAACAGCAGAGGAUGUACCAAAGUUGUGGGGGAAGGACCACAAGCCCUCGAGCUUACACAAAGAACAGCCAACAGCCUUGGAGUGCUGCGAGAUGAAGAAAUUAUCUUCUCUAGGGAGGAGCACACUAAUCUGGUUAUCCAACACCAAAUGGUCAUCUCUGAAGUGAUUUUUCACACUACAUGGAUGUCGUCCUAUAAACUGAAACUAAAAUCAUGUCACAUGCAAUUUUAUAUGAAGAUUAACUAAUGAAUGCAAAAUGCCGAUAACCGUACAUGUGUCAACGUUCCUAUUUUUGUUCCUUCUCCGAGGAAGGAAAAAAGAUUUUGUAAUAUUUCAGGACUCCCAAGUAAGAGCUUCCUAUUCAGAAACAGAGCCCUUUCAAAUCAGCAGGACUCCAAGCUCAUCAUCGUCUGGAACCCUGUUGGCCCCUUUUAUCCCAGGGACUUACUGGCCAUCCAAGCUAAACUAGACAAAAGUGGGAUAUUUGAAAAUGAAAGUUCUUAACUUAGUGCAUGAAAUGCAGGGUUGCUUAUGAUAAAUAAAUAAGUAAAUAAAUAUUCGAGGAAAGAGUCUCUUUGUAGCUCAGUCUCCCCAUAACACAAUGGAGUGCCCGCUGCUGUUCAGUCUGAAUGCACAAAACCCUGCCGGAGGGUACAGAGAAUUUUUAUCUUGCUUCUUUUUGUUGUGUUUUACAAAUUGUUCCAGGCCCUGUGGGCCUAAUUUUUGAUAGAAGAGGGGGACUUUGGAGUCCUCUCCAAAUUUUCAUUGUGGGGCACAGAAGGCAACCUGGAGACAUUUCUUUCCUAUGUGACUAAGGGAGGGCAUUCAGUCCCCGGGCUCUGGCAAUCCAUGCUUAUGAGGCUGCUUGUGGCAUUGAAGGUUCAAAUACAAAGAUGUGGGUAGAAAAAUAUCCCAAAGUUUCAAAGGCGAAAGCUGCUGUCUGAAGUUCGCUAACGUUUCUGUGGGAAGUAGUGAGGGAGCAAAGCUGAACUCCCUGCAAAUUACACAAAGGGGACUUGAGAAGCUGCCGUGUGGCAGCCCUCAGAAGUCCUCAUCUAUGUUGAUUUAUGCAGUGAUUUUCUUUGACCCCAGGGAAAGCUGCUUUAUGUUUGGACAUCUAUGCCUUCCUACCCAUCUGUGAGAUCCUCCAAGUGACAGUGCAGAGAAAUGAGUGGAGAAAAGAAGACAGUCAGGAAAAAAAAUAAAUUACUCAUUCACAAGUGAA